GGGUUGUGAGGUUAAGCGACUAAGCGUACACGGUGGAUGCCCUGGCAGUCAGAGGCGAUGAAGGACGUGCUAAUCUGCGAUAAGCGUCGGUAAGGUGAUAUGAACCGUUAUAACCGGCGAUUUCCGAAUGGGGAAACCCAGUGUGUUUCGACACACUAUCAUUAACUGAAUCCAUAGGUUAAUGAGGCGAACCGGGGGAACUGAAACAUCUAAGUACCCCGAGGAAAAGAAAUCAACCGAGAUUCCCCCAGUAGCGGCGAGCGAACGGGGAGGAGCCCAGAGCCUGAAUCAGUGUGUGUGUUAGUGGAAGCGUCUGGAAAGGCGCGCGAUACAGGGUGACAGCCCCGUACACAAAAAUGCACAUACUGUGAGCUCGAUGAGUAGGGCGGGACACGUGGUAUCCUGUCUGAAUAUGGGGGGACCAUCCUCCAAGGCUAAAUACUCCUGACUGACCGAUAGUGAACCAGUACCGUGAGGGAAAGGCGAAAAGAACCCCGGCGAGGGGAGUGAAAAAGAACCUGAAACCGUGUACGUACAAGCAGUGGGAGCACGCUUCGGCGUGUGACUGCGUACCUUUUGUAUAAUGGGUCAGCGACUUAUAUUCUGUAGCAAGGUUAACCGAAUAGGGGAGCCGAAGGGAAACCGAGUCUUAACUGGGCGUUAAGUUGCAGGGUAUAGACCCGAAACCCGGUGAUCUAGCCAUGGGCAGGUUGAAGGUUGGGUAACACUAACUGGAGGACCGAACCGACUAAUGUUGAAAAAUUAGCGGAUGACUUGUGGCUGGGGGUGAAAGGCCAAUCAAACCGGGAGAUAGCUGGUUCUCCCCGAAAGCUAUUUAGGUAGCGCCUCGUGAAUUCAUCUCCGGGGGUAGAGCACUGUUUCGGCAAGGGGGUCAUCCCGACUUACCAACCCGAUGCAAACUGCGAAUACCGGAGAAUGUUAUCACGGGAGACACACGGCGGGUGCUAACGUCCGUCGUGAAGAGGGAAACAACCCAGACCGCCAGCUAAGGUCCCAAAGUCAUGGUUAAGUGGGAAACGAUGUGGGAAGGCCCAGACAGCCAGGAUGUUGGCUUAGAAGCAGCCAUCAUUUAAAGAAAGCGUAAUAGCUCACUGGUCGAGUCGGCCUGCGCGGAAGAUGUAACGGGGCUAAACCAUGCACCGAAGCUGCGGCAGCGACACUAUGUGUUGUUGGGUAGGGGAGCG
rnacentral:rRNA from 1 species